UUUAUGUUGUCAAUAAACAAACUUUAUUAAUAAUUCCUUUUAAUAGAUAUUGAGAUGAAAUUCAAUGUCUAAUUGAAUUCAUGCCAUAUACACAAACUCUUGUUUUAGAUUUUCUAUUGGCAAACAUCCUGUUCAAUAGUCCUUGGGGGUUCUGAGUACAUUCACAAAAUGAAAUCCCAAUUAUUGCUGCCAACAAAUGAGUACGUAAGUUUUUCAAACUAGGUGGGUGAAACUGCUUGAAAAACACAACUUAAAAAAAAAAAUGUACUCAUUAACAAUAGGCAAAUCGAGUUAAAUCAACCACUAAACAGGUUUUA
rnacentral:lncRNA from 1 species